AGUGAACGCUGGCGGUAGGCCUAACACAUGCAAGUCGAACGGCAGCACAGUAAGCGCUUGCUCUUACGGGUGGCGAGUGGCGGACGGGUGAGGAAUACAUCGGAAUCUACUUUUUCGUGGGGGAUAACGUAGGGAAACUUACGCUAAUACCGCAUACGACCUACGGGUGAAAGCAGGGGAUCUUCGGACCUUGCGCGAUUGAAUGAGCCGAUGUCGGAUUAGCUAGUUGGCGGGGUAAAGGCCCACCAAGGCGACGAUCCGUAGCUGGUCUGAGAGGAUGAUCAGCCACACUGGAACUGAGACACGGUCCAGACUCCUACGGGAGGCAGCAGUGGGGAAUAUUGGACAAUGGGCGCAAGCCUGAUCCAGCCAUACCGCGUGGGUGAAGAAGGCCUUCGGGUUGUAAAGCCCUUUUGUUGGGAAAGAAAAGCAGCAGGUUAAUACCCCGAUGUUCUGACGGUACCCAAAGAAUAAGCACCGGCUAACUUCGUG
rnacentral:rRNA from 1 species